GAUCCUGGCUCAGGAUGAACGCUAGCUACAGGCUUAACACGUGCAAGUCGAGGGGCAGCAUGGUCUUAGCUUGCUAAGGCCGAUGGCGACCGGCGCACGGGUGAGUAACACGUAUCCAACCUGUCGUCUACUCUUGGACAGCCUUCUGAAAGGAAGAUUAAUGCAAGAUGGCAUCAUGAGUCCGCAUGUUCACAUGAUUAAAGGUAUUCCGGUAGACGAUGGGGA
rnacentral:rRNA from 1 species